UUACGCACGGGAAAAUGCACCACAGUGGUGCAUUUUCCCGUGCGUAA
rnacentral:miRNA from 1 species